UACAGAGACUGCAAGCGUUAUUCGGAUUCACUGGGCGUAAAGGGUGCGCAGGCGGCCAAGUGUGUGAGGCGUGAAAGCCUGGGGCUUAACUCCAGAAUUGCACCUCAAACUACUUGGCUAGAGCAUUGGAGAGGGUAGCAGAAUUCAUGGUGUAGCAGUGAAAUGCGUAGAUAUCAAGCGGAACACCGGUGGCGAAGGCGGCCUUCUGGACAGUGACUGACGCUGAGACGCGAAAGCGUGGGGAGCAAACAGG
rnacentral:rRNA from 1 species